AAAUAAAAUUAUAGGCCCAAUCUACGUUCCUUUCAUUAAUUUGAUUUCUGGUUUCAUCUCAUGUAAAACAAAUAUAUUUCGUCCUGAAUUGACCUACGAUCAAAAAAUUUCUAGAGUUUCAGCUGCAAAAACAAUCAUGAAGAAUGUAGAAAAUUACACCAUGGGUGUCAGUUACGGAGACAGUCAACGGUUCAGUUUUGAAGACAUCGGAACAAUAUCUUUGUAUCACAAAUCAGAAAAGGAGAAGAUUCCCGCACUGUUCUUGUUUGGAGCUGUAUGUCUACCAUCAACUCAACAAUUUUACGAGUUGAUGGUAGACUGGACUCAGCUAAAUACAGAAACCUUCUAUAAAAGCAUGUGCUUCCAUUGGCACCACAGACUACAUCGCACAUGAUUAAAUACGUCCAUGACUGGUAACUCACAAAUUU